rnacentral:rRNA from 1 species
GCGACCCCAGGAUGGGCGAGGCCACCCGCCGAGUUUAAGCAUAUCAAUAAUCGGAGGAGAAG